ensembl:lncRNA
UUCCUUUAUACCUAAUUUCUCGUGAUCUGAGGACAGCAGCCUAUCUCCUAUUUUCGUCACUGCUAUUAAGACUGACAGGUGUGACUAUAGGUGUGAUUAUAGCAGGUAGAACUGGUUUUGUGAGACUACUUUAAAUUGAACUCUCCGUUCUAGUUUGUUUUACACUUAUCACUGUGCUCAAGAUUCAUGCAAGAUAGGAGGCGAAUGGUGUCGAAAGAUAUGCUUGCUAUUCCUGAAUAACCAUCACCUGCCACCAUGAAUGUUGGAUUUUUUCUAAGCCUACUGGCAGCUAUGUGCCCGCCUCAUGUCUGGACCACAGACUCUACUGAGAUUCCUGCAAUUAACACCAGUACAGGACCGGUGGUCAGUAAACCUUCAAGACCUCAGCCAUUCAUGGAACAAACCAAACAAUUGGACAAACAAACAACUCCAACCAUGGACUCAAAGAAAUUGACUUCAACGAUGGAAACAACAUUUAGCUCCAAAAGUAAAACGGAAACCGUAGGAGCUUCAAUAAUGGCAAAUGUAACUGGAGUCAAAGGAAGUACAUCAGACCCGAUGGAGGAAAUAAAUGCUGAAUCAACGAAGGGAAGUACAAGUCAAAAUAUAGCCGCUGCCAAUGAAACAAAUACUGUUUAUAAUGUUACACCUGUGACUGGUCUCCAGGAACCUGCCUUAACCAGUACAACAUCUGGCACUUCCACAUUGCUGCAUAAUAAGUCAAGACUGAUGAACUCCUCAGCAGAAACAGUGACUGCAGCACAGAUUUAUACUGACUCCACUCUUUCAGCCUCAACUACAGCUCAGUCCAGCAAAGCUCUGACUAUACCUAAAUUUAGCUCACCUUUACCAAAUUCAACCCAGAUGGAUACAAUGGUAUCUCCCAACAACAUACCUAUAAACAUUGUUGUGACAGCUAUGGCAGCCGCACCUAAGGUCACAGACGUCACAGAUCACAGCAUGCCAAUCACCAUUCCACAGUUAUCACAAACUGGUCCUACCAAAACACCUACACGGAAAUUCCAAGACACAUCCGAUAUAGUGCAGUCAAAUUUAACUUCUGACAUAUUUAACAACAUAUCUGGGACGGUGUCAUCUCUGAAUUCAUCAGCUUUGAUUAAUUUGAAAGCCAUGAAUUCUACGUUCAGCCCAUCUGCAUCCACUACUCCAAAAAAAGCCACAAGUACAGGCAAAAUCAACAAAACGUUAGCCUUAAACCUUAGAACAACAUUAAAAACAAGUUUCCCUGAACAAAAAACAUUAGUAACAACCACAUUGACACAAAUCAGAGCUGAAUCAAAGACAACAUCAACAGCUCCAGCACAAAGGACAGCAUCUAUGUUGACAGAUUUGGCUAUAUCACAAACAUCAACAUUGGAAUCAAUUGUAGUACCUCCAAUGGCUGAUAGUACAGGGUCAAUUACAACAACUAUGAAAAAAGCUAGGGCAACAGCAUUUACAAAACAAACUAGAGGACCUGUGGAUACAGUGUCCACAACUACAACAACAACAACAUAUAUUCCACUCACAAUAAAAACACAAACACAAUUUACGGUUGUAACCACAAAAUCAGAAACUUCAGCCGAAGCUGCACCACCUUUAACAACAAAAUCAAAGACUACACAAACAUCAACUUCAGCAUCAAUAACAACAGAGCUACCCACGGCUGCAAAACAAACUAAUGAAUCAACAUCAAUUUACAGCACAUUACCACAUCGUGUUUCAGUGAUUUCCACCACACAAAGUACACCAGCAAUGAACACAGCAUUUACAACACAAACUAAAGCAACUGUGGAAACAGUGUCCUCAACUCCAUCAGCAGAAUCUAUUCCAUUCACAAUAGAAUCAUCAACAACACCAACACAAAGUACAGUUGUAACAACAAAAUCAGCCACUUUAGAAACAGCAGUAUCUGGAACAUCCAAAUCAGUGACUUCACAAACAUCAGCAACAUUAACAACAGAGAAACUCACAGCAGCAGAAUUAACUGAGGAGUCGACUACAAUUCCCAGCCCAUCGACACAUAGUGCAUCAGUGAUGUCAACCACACAAAGUACACCAGCUAGGGCAACAUCAUUUACAAAACAAACUAGAGGACCUGUGGAAACAGUGUCCACAACUACUUCAACAACAUAUAUUCCACUCACAAGAAAAACAACAACAACACCAACACAAUUUACAGUUGUAACCACAUCAUCAGAAACUUCAGCAGAAGCUGAACCAUCUGUAACAGCCAAAUCAGAGACUACACAAACAUCAACUUCAGCAUCAAUAACAACAGAGCUACCCACGGCUGCAAAACACACUUCUGAGUCAACGACAAUUCCCAGCACAUCAACACAUAGUGGAUCAGUGACUACAAUAACACAAACUACACCAUCUACUCCAGAAACAUCAGAAACAACACCAACUGUGUCAACAACCAUACCAACACAAUCUAUUCCGGCCACAAUAGAAUCCUCAACAACAGCAACAGAGAGUACAGCAAUUGUUUUUUCAUCACCACAAAGUUUAACACACGUUACAGUUGUAAAUACACAAUCAGCAUCUUCAGCAGAAGCUGAACCAUCUGUAACAGCCAAAUCAGAGACUACACAAACAUCAACUUCAGCAUCAAUAACAACAGAGCUACCCACGGCUGCAAAACACACUUCUGAGUCAACGACAAUUCCCAGCACAUCAACACAUAGUGGAUCAGUGACUACAAUAACACAAACUACACCAUCUACUCCAGAAACAUCAGAAACAACACCAACUGUGUCAACAACCAUACCAACACAAUCUAUUCCGGCCACAAUAGAAUCCUCAACAACAGCAACAGAGAGUACAGCAAUUGUUUUUUCAUCACCACAAAGUUUAACACACGUUACAGUUGUAAAUACACAAUCAGCAUCUUCAGCAGAAGCUGUGCCAUCUGUAACAACCAAAUCAGAGACUACACAAACAUCAACUUCAGCAUCAAUAACAACAGAGCUACCCACGGCUGCAAAACACACUUCUGAAUCAACAUCAAUUCACAGCACAUCAACACAUAGUGGAUCAGUGAUUUCCACCACACAAAGUACACCACCUAUGGACACAGCAUUUACAACACAAACUGGAGGACUUGUAGAAAGAUUGUCGAACACUAGUUCAACAACAUAUAUUCCAAUCACAAUGAAAACACCAACAACACCAACACAAUUUAUGGUUGGAACCACAAAAUCAGAAACUUCAGCAGAAGCUGCGCCACCUGUAACAACAAAAUCAGAGACUACACGAACAUCAACUUCAGCAUCAAUAACAACAGAGCUACCCACGGCUGCAAAACAAACUAAUGAAUCAACAUCAAUUUACAGCACAUUACCACAUCGUGUUUCAGUGAUUUCCACCACACAAAGUACACCAGCAAUGAACACAGCAUUUACAACACAAACUAAAGCAACUGUGGAAACAGUGUCCUCAACUCCAUCAGCAGAAUCUAUUCCAUUCACAAUAGAAUCAUCAACAACACCAACACAAAGUACAGUUGUAACAACAAAAUCAGCCACUUUAGAAACAGCAGUAUCUGGAACAUCCAAAUCAGUGACUUCACAAACAUCAGCAACAUUAACAACAGAGAAACUCACAGCAGCAGAAUUAACUGAGGAGUCGACUACAAUUCCCAGCCCAUCGACACAUAGUGCAUCAGUGAUGUCAACCACACAAAGUACACCAGCUAGGGCAACAUCAUUUACAAAACAAACUAGAGGACCUGUGGAAACAGUGUCCACAACUACUUCAACAACAUAUAUUCCACUCACAAGAAAAACAACAACAACACCAACACAAUUUACAGUUGUAACCACAUCAUCAGAAACUUCAGCAGAAGCUGAACCAUCUGUAACAGCCAAAUCAGAGACUACACAAACAUCAACUUCAGCAUCAAUAACAACAGAGCUACCCACGGCUGCAAAACACACUUCUGAGUCAACGACAAUUCCCAGCACAUCAACACAUAGUGGAUCAGUGAUUUCCGCCACACAAAGUAAAGCACCAUAUAGCGUUGCAUCUUUAAAACCAACACCCCUACUAUCCUACACAACAGCAGAAUCACUAAAUUCAUUUCAGAACGACAAUACUACAAAUGUCACAUCCUUCAACGCACAAAAAACUGUGACAGUUAUGACAGACGUUGCCACAGACUCAAGUUCACUUCUGCCUUGGUCAUUUUCCCCGGAAGCAUCAACUCUAAAUCCUGCUGAAGUCAACACAACACAGCAGCAAGUUGAUCCUAACUCUGUUCCCUUAUCUGGAGGAAAUACAGUAUUUUUCAAAUAUAGCCCCAUAAUUGCUUCUGUGAGGCCCCUUGACUUUGAAUACCCAACUGUGAUAUGGACCACAUUCCAAGUUUUGGAUGCCUUCUCUGAAGAGAUGAACGAGCCAAAUCAGAACAACACAAAUUAGGUAAUUACAAACGUUUUUAAGGAGUAGUUUAACAUGUUAAGAAACACAUUUUUUUCUUUUCAAUAGUUAAAUGAGAACAAUAACAUCACUCUCAUAUUUGUAAUGCUGCAGCCUGUAGAUGAUGAGCUUAACAUAAAGAAUGGCUAUGUCCAAUGGUAACAAAAUCUGCCUACCUAAUUGUCUGAAAUGUUGUCUUACAACUUUCCAGGUUUUUGCUAAGCUCAGCUAACUGGUUGCUGGCUGUUGCUACAUAUUAAAGUCUACAGCAUAUUUCCCGAAAUUGAAAAUGUUACCUUUACAGUCUGUGAUAUUAUUAUAUUCAUAUAUUCAUAUACUACCAAAAUAAGCGGAUUUAAUGUACUGUACAUAUCAUCACUGAUACGGUUUCUUACACUGAAUGCUAGUUUUCUUAGCUCAGCUGACCAUUGAUUAUGAGCAGCCAACUGCUAAGUAGCUAAAAGAAGAAAGAAGAAAUGUACACUUUUAUUAUCCCCGUGGGGAGCAACUGGGGAUACAGUGUCUUGCUCAAGGACACUUCGACAUGUUGGGAGGACAGGUAUCGAAACCUGCUACCUUGUGGUUACAGGACGACCACCCUACCCCAAGAGCCACAAAUAUGGGGAGGGGUUAAGACCUGCAUAGUUGUGUCUAAACAUUUUUUAAAUAGAAAUACAACGUCAAUAAUUGGGGAUACAAUGUAUUGCUCAAGGACACUUUGACAUUCAACUAUAGCGGGAUCGGGAAUUGAACACCAUACAUUAUGGUUAUGGGAUGACCACUCAUCCCCAUGAGCUACAGCCAACUCCCAAAUAACAGUAAAAUGGUAGCUGUGAAGAAGACCGUGUGCAGCCACAAAUAUAUUUAUCACUCAGCAACCAAUUCAAUAGAUGGUUAUAACAAGCAUUGUUAAAAUGUCCAAAUAACUUCUUCCAACAUGUUUAAAAUUGCUUUGGCCAGUUACACUCCCAUUUGUCUCCGUCUGUGUGUCCUUUUUUAAGGUAACACAAAAUAAUAUUCCAAAAACAUGUUAAUUACAAAUCUAUAAUGUAUUUACAUAUCUUUUGUUUAAAGAUCUAUUUCUUGGUAUUUAUUUGUUUUUGUCUUGGUUUCUGGGUUCCAUUGCCAUUUAAUUUCCAGUUCAAUUAGGAGUUUUCAAACUACUUUUACUUAGACAAUUAGUUGUGAUAUUUUCUAAGGGAUUUCAUAUUUGACUCUAAAAAAAUGUUCUUUCAGUUCUCACUUUAUCUGACAUGAUAUUCAUACAGUAGUUUUGACCUAACCACAGAAGAUAAAUACCUAUGUUACUUUAACAAAUACAAAAGAUGUGAGUUGAGUUUUCUUUCCUGUCGAGCUUUGUUGAUUGAUUUUGUCAUUCUGUUUUGGUGAUCUUAUGUGAUCUUAUCCACCUGGAUAAUUUGUGUUUUUUCUUUUUCUGUUAAUCCUAUCGUUUAUUUAUAUUUUGUAUCUCCUUAAACCAAGACUUUUAGGACAUUGCAAUUAAUUGCACUUGAAAUAAACUAAUUAUUCAUGCCU